UUUAUUUGAGAGUUUGAUCCUGGCUCAGGAUGAACGCUGGCGGCGUGCCUAACACAUGCAAGUUGAGCGAUUUACUUCGGUAAAGAGCGGCGGACGGGUGAGUAACGCGUGGGUAACCUACCCUGUACACACGGAUAACAUACCGAAAGGUAUGCUAAUACGGGAUAAUAUAUUUGAGAGGCAUCUCCUGAAUAUCAAAGGUGAGCCAGUACAGGAUGGACCCGCGUCUGAUUAGCUAGUUGGUAAGGGAACGGCUUACCAAAGCGACGAUCCGUAGCCGACCUGAGAGGGUGAUCGGCCACAUUGUAACUGAGGCACGAUCCAAACUCCUACGGGAGGCACCAGAGGG
rnacentral:rRNA from 1 species